rnacentral:rRNA from 1 species
UACGGGGGGAGCAAGCGUUGUUCGGAUUUACUGGGCGUAAAGGGCGCGUAGGCGGCGCAACAAGUCACUUGUGAAAUCUCCGGGCUUAACCCGGAGCGGCCAAGUGAUACUGUCGUGCUAGAGUGCGGAAGGGGCUACUGGAAUUCUCGGUGUAGCGGUGAAAUGCGUAGAUAUCGGGAGGAACACCAGUGGCGAAGGCGACUACCUGGCCUGUUCUUGACGCUGAGGCGCGAAAGCUAGGGGAGCAAACGGG